rnacentral:rRNA from 1 species
UACGUAGGGUGCGAGCGUUGUCCGGAAUUACUGGGCGUAAAGAGCUCGUAGGUGGUUUGUCGCGUUGUUCGUGAAAACUCACAGCUCAACUGUGGGCGUGCGGGCGAUACGGGCAGACUUGAGUACUGCAGGGGAGACUGGAAUUCCCGGUGUAGUGGUGAAAUGCGUAGAUAUCGAGAGGAACACCUGCGGCGAAGGCGGGUAGCUGGGCCGACACGUGACGCU